CAUGGCUCAGGAUGAACGCUAGCUACAGGCUUAACACCUGCAAGUCGAGGGGAAACGACAUCGAAAGCUUGCUUUUGAUGGGCGUCGACCGGCGCACGGGUGAGUAACGCGUAUCCAACCUGCCCACCACUUGGGGAUAACCUUGCGAAAGUAAGACUAAUACCCAAUGAUAUCUCUAGAAGACAUCUGAAAGAGAUUAAAGAUUUAUCGGUGAUGGAUGGGGAUGCGUCUGAUUAGCUUGUUGGCGGGGUAACGGCCCACCAAGGCUACGAUCAGUAGGGGUUCUGAGAGGAAGGUCCCCCACAUUGGAACUGAGACACGGUCCAAACUCCUACGGGAGGCAGCAGUGAGGAAUAUUGGUCAAUGGACGAGAGUCUGAACCAGCCAAGUAGCGUGCAGGAUGACGGCCCUAUGGGUUGUAAACUGCUUUUAUAAGGGAAUAAAGUGAGUCUCGUGAGACUUUUUGCAUGUACCUUAUGAAUAAGGACCGGCUAAUUCCGUGCCAGCAGCCGCGGUAAUACGGAAGGUCCGGGCGUUAUCCGGAUUUAUUGGGUUUAAAGGGAGCGUAGGCCGGAGAUUAAGCGUGUUGUGAAAUGUAGAUGCUCAACAUCUGCACUGCAGCGCGAACUGGUUUCCUUGAGUACGCACAAAGUGGGCGGAAUUCGUGGUGUAGCGGUGAAAUGCUUAGAUAUCACGAAGAACUCCGAUUGCGAAGGCAGCUCACUGGAGCGCAACUGACGCUGAAGCUCGAAAGUGCGGGUAUCGAACAGGAUUAGAUACCCUGGUAGUCCGCACGGUAAACGAUGGAUGCCCGCUGUUGGUCUGAAUAGGUCAGCGGCCAAGCGAAAGCAUUAAGCAUCCCACCUGGGGAGUACGCCGGCAAC
rnacentral:rRNA from 1 species